CUGAUUCUUUGAUGAAAAUAAUGAUGAAUGCUCCACAAAGCCUACUAAGUAACAACUAGACUGAGCUCUGAGGAUCUUUGGUGAAAAGUGCCAUUGGAAUGGGUAGAGACAAACCAACAUGGAGAAAAGUGAGAGACAAACAGAUGGAAAGUGAGAGGGAGAGAGGCAUGAGAGCAACUAGAUGAUGCUUCAGGCAGGCAACAGAAGGAGAAAGCAAGAGUCAGAGAUGGAACGGGAGAGACACCAAACUGAAUUCAAAGAAUUUAGUUGAACAAAUUCAACACAGUCCAAUUCAGCAGGACUGCUCUGAGAUGGCCACCAACUGAGCACAAUUAGAACAAAGGAUGAUCCCCAGAUUUCAUGACUUCACCCGGAACUCCAGCUACAAUGGAGAACAAUUCCUCCCGUGUAUGUGCGUCUACCAAAAGGGAGGGAGAGGUGCUAAAACCCUGAGGCUGCCCGGUGCCUCCAUUAUCAGAGGAUCUAGUCCGUGCACAGAUUUCCAAAAGAACCUAAUAUCUGAAGCUGAGGCCAUCAUCCCACAAUCAUAAAGGAAAGCCCAAGAAUACUGGAGAUAUGUCAGCCCUGGCAACAAUGAGAUAUUGAACUAAGAUCUUCA
ensembl:lncRNA